UUCCUGGUUGGGUCCUUAGCUCAGAUCCUGAAGGACCAGCUUCCUAAAUGCACGUGACCUUACGCCUCUGAAUUCCCAGAUGGACUAUGGCCGUAGGGGCCUCGCCCUCUCGGGCGGUAACCCGCUGUUUCCAAGUUCAGCACACCUUUACUGAGCUCUGACGAGGUGCCAGGUGUCACCUUGGGUGUUGGUGAUAAAGACGAAUGGAAUGCAUCCCUGUCCUCUAAGAACUCGAGAAAGGAGACAAUGAACAACUUGGCUAGACUCUUAGAAGAAACCCUAUUAUCAAUUAUCUUUUGAAGAUAGUGAAACCGAGAUUCUGUGUCGUUAAGCAACUUGGUUUAAGUCAAACAAUUCUAAGUGGUGGGACCUGGAUUUAAAACCCGGACUGACUCAAAAGCCAGAGUUCUUUGGUCUCAGCCCUCACUCCACCCACGUCCGCGCCCGCCCCCUCUCUUGCUCCCACAGUGAAUUCUCACGUGCCUUCCGUACCCAAGUGUUUGUACUCUCUCUGCCCCAGCCACCUCCUGUACUUCGCCCUUUUCUACUCUGGAACAAAAAUAGGGCCAACCAGAGAAGGUUCUGGAAAUUUCUGAUUUGGUUUUGUUUCAUUUUUCCCCAAAGCAUAGUACAUGCCUCAUUUCAACCCAUUUAAGUAACUGACUUCUUGCCCGUGCCCAGUGGCUCACGCCUAUAAUCCCAGCACUUUGGGAGGCCAAG